rnacentral:rRNA from 1 species
CCCAAGAGAUCGGGAUAACACCUGGAAACAGAUGCUAAUACCGGAUAACAACAGAUGAUGCCUAUCAACUGUUUAAAAGAUGGUUCUGCUAUCACUCUUGGAUGGACCUGCGGUGCAUUAGCUAGUUGGUAGGGUAANCCGGGCCUACCAAGGCGAUGAUGCAUAGCCGAGUUGAGAGACUGAUCGGCCACAUUGGGACUGAGACACGGCCCAAACUCCUACGGGAGGCAGCAGCU